GAGGAGGAGGGGGCAAAGAAAGGGGGGCAGAAAGGCUUGGUGCUUCUGAGGUCAGGAGAAGAUCCCUUUUCUAGUUGCCAACUUAGAGUUGAGGAUUUCAGUCCCCAGUGAAGAGGGAGGAGGCGAGAAUGAAAUCCUUGAGUGUUUCCCUAGUGGUCCUGUGGCUCCAGCUAAAUGGGGUGAGCAGCCAGCAGAAGGUGCAGCAGAGCCCAGAAUCUCUCAUUGUCCCAGAGGGAGCCAGGACCUCUCUCAACUGCACUUUCAGUGAUAGUGCUUCUCAGUAUUUCGCAUGGUACAGACAAGAUCCUGGGAAAGAACCCAAGGAGCUACUGUCCAUCUUCUCCACUGGUGAAAAGGAAGAAGGCAGAUUCACAAUUCACGUCAUUAAAGCCAGCCUACAUGUUUUCCUGCACAUCAGAGACUCCCAGCCGGAUGACUCUGCUCUCUACUUCUGUGCAUCUCUGGCCAUUGUGAAUAAAGCUGCGAAGAACAUAAUGGAACAAGUGCCCUUGUGGCAGGAGAGAACAUCCUUUGGAUAUUCCGGUGGUAUAGUUGUGUCUUAA